rnacentral:rRNA from 1 species
GAUGAACGCUGGCGGCGUGCUUAACACAUGCAAGUCGAACGGAAAGGCCCAAGCUUGCUUGGGUACUCGAGUGGCGAACGGGUGAGUAACACGUGGGUGAUCUGCCCUGCACUUCGGGAUAAGCCUGGGAAACUGGGUCUAAUACCGGAUAGGACCACAUUUUGGAUGGUGUGGUGGAAAGUUUUUCGGUGUGGGAUGAGCUCGCGGCCUAUCAGCUUGUUGGUGGGGUAAUGGCCUACCAAGGCGUCGACGGGUAGCCGGCCUGAGAGGGUGUACGGCCACAUUGGGACUGAGAUACGGCCCAGACUCCUACGGGUGGCAGCAGUGGGGAAUAUUGCACAAUGGGCGCAAGCCUGAUGCAGCGACGCCGCGUGGGGGAUGACGGCCUUCGGGUUGUAAACUCCUUUCGCUAGGGACGAAGCGUUAUGUGACGGUACCUGGAGAAGAAGCACCGGCUAACUACGUG